GCCUGCUUCCUCCAUCCCCAAAACAGUCUACUUGGUUUUUAAAAGUCAUUGUGAAUGUACAGCAUCCUUACCACACGGCUGCAUGCACAAGACCAAGCUGUCUCUGAAAGAAUUCCACACCUGACAAGAUGCUGGCCACACCUUUCUUGGCUCAGAGACAAAGCAAGGAAAUUGUGAAUGGUGCCUCACAACUACCACCAGGACUACAGAACGAAACAAGUGGCCAAACUGAUCUUGGAGGUGGGAGAGCAAGCCGAUUGUAAUGGAGUAUGUAUAAUAACUAGAAAUAUAUAAAUCUUGUUCUUAUUGGAAC
ensembl:lncRNA